AGGAUGAACGCUGGCGGUGUGCCUAACACAUGCAAGUCGAACGUCCUGUCUCGCAAGAGGCAGGGAGUGGCGGACGGGUGAGUACCACGUGGGUUAUCUACCGUGAGGUGAGGAAUACCGGCGAGAAAUCGCCGACAAGACCGCAUAGCCUCGGUGCAAGCCGAGGAAAGCUUUCUCGAGAGAGGGAGCGCCACACGAGGAGCCUGCGCCCGAUUAGCUAGCUGGUGGAGUAACGGUUCACCAGGGCGACGAUCGGUAGCUGGUCUGAGAGGACGAUCAGCCACACUGGGAUUGAGAACGGCCCAGACUCCUACGGGGGGCAGCAGUGAGGAAUUUUCGUCAAUGGGGGCAACCCUGAACGAGCAACGCCGCGUGCAGGAAGAAGGUUUUCGGAUCGUAAACUGCUUUUCUCGGGGAAGAGAACGGACGGUACCCGAGGAAUCAGCCCGGCUAACGUACGCGCCAGCAGCCGCGGUAA
rnacentral:rRNA from 1 species